UACGUAGGGUGCGAGCGUUAAUCGGAAUUACUGGGCGUAAAGCGUGCGCAGGCGGUUCGCUAAGACCGAUGUGAAAUCCCCGGGCUUAACCUGGGAACUGCAUUGGUGACUGCAUUGCUGGAGUAUGGCAGAGGGGGGUGGAAUUCCACGUGUAGCAGUGAAAUGCGUAGAGAUGUGGAGGAACACCGAUGGCGAAGGCAGCCCCCUGGGCCAAUACUGACGCUCAUGCACGAAAGCGUGGGGAGCAAACAGG
rnacentral:rRNA from 1 species